rnacentral:rRNA from 1 species
CAGCAGCCGCGGUAAUACGGAGGGUGCAAGCGUUAUCCGGAUUUAUUGGGUUUAAAGGGUCCGUAGGCGGAUCUGUAAGUCAGUGGUGAAAUCUCACAGCUUAACUGUGAAACUGCCAUUGAUACUGCAGGUCUUGAGUAAAUUUGAAGUGGCUGGAAUAAGUAGUGUAGCGGUGAAAUGCAUAGAUAUUACUUAGAACACCAAUUGCGAAGGCAGGUCACUAAGAUUUAACUGACGCUGAUGGACGAAAGCGUGGGGAGCGAACAGGAUUAGAGACCCGAGUAGUCCCUGUCUCUUAUAA